UCCCUUAAAAAAGUAAAACAACUGUAAUUUCACAAAACAUCUAAAUUCUGACUGCAGUUGCAAACUACCUUCUGAAACACCAGCAAAAUCCAGACACUAGGGAUAAUAAUGCUUGAAACACCCUAUCCCAGGGAAUGCUGUUUCUCAAUAAGAUACAGUCCGCUAUUUGACUGGACAUUUUUCUGUUCAGCUUUCUAUCAGUAAUUAUAGCAUUUAAACUGAGAAGUUACCUGGUUCCUGGAGGUGUGAACUCCAGGGAAGGGUGGUGACAGAGGCUUCUGUGUUGAACCCAUUCUGAUCCAGAGUUAUGCCAAGGGUGUCCUGGCAGUCGCGGGGUAUAAAACAGGAAAAGGCUUACACUGGAGUAGACCUUUGGUCAAAGCUAGCUUCGGGGAAGAGGAGUUGGCCUUCAUCUAAGAACUGCUUUGUCCUGCCCAGAGACUUCCUUGUGCUACAGGUGGGGCCUGCUGGACAGUGGACAACCAUUCUUCAACAGCAACUCCAUGUGGCAAUAGGAAGCAAUGGCAGUACAUUCAUGUGAUCAAGGGCCUCCCAGGAAGCAAACCUGAUUCUUUGGCAGUUGGAAUAAGAGACCUCACAUCUCUUUUUGGCACCUCCCCUACCAAUUGGUCUCCUUCCUAAGACAGGGUGGCUGUAGGAGUACGACCUUAUAAUUGUUGCUCUUACUGUAAUUGGAGGUAGUAGGAGUAUAUAUAAUCUUAUUGUCUUUCCUAUGUGGCGGUAGUUUAUUUAUGACCUAUGGAUAAUUCCCAGCCAGCAGCAGAAAACUCAGUGAGUAUUACAUUAGCAUUCCCUCCUAGGAGAGUGCCUACCAAACAAAGACUAUUAUUAACCAGAAGGAACAUGUACUAGGGAUGGCCCAUCAUACCAAAUAUAAACUUCGUUACUGCAAAGAUUGA